rnacentral:rRNA from 1 species
GACGAACGCUGGCGGCGUGCUUAACACAUGCAAGUCGAACGAUGAAGCCGGAGCUUGCUCCGGUGGAUUAGUGGCGAACGGGUGAGUAACACGUGAGCAAUCUGCCCUUGACUCUGGGGUAACUGCGGGAAACUGUAGCUAAUACCGGAUACGAGGCCUGGAGGCAUCCCCGGGUCUGGAAAGAAUUUCGGUCAAGGAUGAGCUCGCGGCCUAUCAGCUAGUUGUUGAGGUAAUGGCUCACCAAGGCGACGACGGGUAGCCGGCCUGAGAGGGUGACCGGCCACACUGGGACUGAGACACGGCCCAGACUCCCACGUGAGGCAGCAGUGGGGAAUAUUGCACAAUGGGCGCAAGCCUGAUGCAGCAACGCCGCGUGAGGGAUGAAGGCCUUCGGGUUGUAAACCUCUUUUAGCAGGGAAGAAGCGAAAGUGACGGUACCUGCAGAAAAAGCACCGGCUAACUACGUGCCAGCAGCCGCCGUAA